AGAGUUUGAUCCUGGCUCAGGACGAACGCUGGCGGCGCGCCUAACACAUGCAAGUCGAACGAGCGAGAGAGAGUUUACUUUUUCGAGCGAGUGGCGAACGGGUGAGUAACGCGUGAGGAACCUGCCUCAAAGAGGGGGACAACAGUUGGAAACGACUGCUAAUACCGCAUAAGCCCACGACCCGGCAUCGGGUAGAGGGAAAAGGAGCAAUCCGCUUUGAGAUGGCCUCGCGUCCGAUUAGCUAGUUGGUGAGGUAACGGCCCACCAAGGCGACGAUCGGUAGCCGGACUGAGAGGUUGAACGGCCACAUUGGGACUGAGACACGGCCCAGACUCCUACGGGAGGCAGCAGUGGGGAAUAUUGCACAAUGGGGGAAACCCUGAUGCAGCGACGCCGCGUGGAGGAAGAAGGUCUUCGGAUUGUAAACUCCUGUUGUUGAGGAAGAUAAUGACGGUACUCAACAAGGAAGUGACGGCUAACUACGUGCCAGCAGCCGCGGUAAAACGUAGGUCACAAGCGUUGUCCGGAAUUACUGGGUGUAAAGGGAGCGCAGGCGGGAAGACAAGUUGGAAGUGAAAUCCAUGGGCUCAACCCAUGAACUGCUUUCAAAACUGUUUUUCUUGAGUAGUGCAGAGGUAGGCGGAAUUCCCGGUGUAGCGGUGGAAUGCGUAGAUAUCGGGAGGAACACCAGUGGCGAAGGCGGCCUACUGGGCACCAACUGACGCUGAGGCUCGAAAGUGUGGGUAGCAAACAGGAUUAGAUACCCUGGUAGUCCACACUGUAAACGAUGAUUACUAGGUGUUGGAGGAUUGACCCCUUCAGUGCCGCAGUUAACACAAUAAGUAAUCCACCUGGGGAGUACGACCGCAAGGUUGAAACUCAAAGGAAUUGACGGGGGCCCGCACAAGCAGUGGAGUAUGUGGUUUAAUUCGACGCAACGCGAAGAACCUUACCAAGUCUUGACAU
rnacentral:rRNA from 1 species